UACGUAGGGUGCGAGCGUUAAUCGGAAUUACUGGGCGUAAAGCGUGCGCAGGCGGUUCGUUAAGUCAGCUGUGAAAGCCCCGGGCUCAACCUGGGAACUGCAUUUGAAACUGGCGGGCUUGAGUGUGGAAGAGGGGGGUGGAAUUCCGCGUGUAGCAGUGAAAUGCGUAGAGAUGCGGAGGAACACCGAUGGCGAAGGCAGCCCCCUGGGCCAACACUGACGCUCAGGCACGAAAGCGUGGGGAGCAAACAGG
rnacentral:rRNA from 1 species